GGCCUUGUGGCUUAAUGGCAAAGCGCUUGACUACGACUAUCUCCUACGAGCGAUCGACAGCGAGAAUAUGUAAAUCAAGAGAUUGCAGGUUCGAUCCCUGCCAAGGUCA